AAAAAAAAAAAGUCUUACCCUGCAUAGAACAUUGUGAUACAGUUUUUGAGUUGCAGUUGGAGAGGACUCGUACUGUUAUGUAUUUUUAUGCUUUAUACCUUUUUGUAAAACGGUGCUGGGGAAGGUGACGAUGUACUCUAGGUUGGAAGAUUCUUAAACAGGAAACUGAAGGCAAUACUGAAUCGACAGAGAGGAAUAUUAUAGAAACCUUGUUUUCUCAAGAGGACAAUGGGAGUGUAGGCUGCUGGAAGCACUUUUAUUUCUUUUUCUUUGAGUUCUCAUUAUUAAAUAAUAAAGCAUGAUCCUCUCUGCUUUAGCAAAUCAGUGUCAUCAAAUAAGCCAGCAUAAUUAGACUCACGGAUUCCAGCCUGAAUUGCUGGUCAGCAAAAAUGUGAAAGCAAAUCAAAACCAAAACACUCUCAGUUCGCUUUUCUGAACUGUAACACUAAUAUAAUUUUUUUUUUCUUUUCAGGAAGGAGAAUGUUCUUGUUUAUGGUUUCCUUUGAUCAAUUACCUCAGAUCAUUCCCAAUGCUAAAAAAAAAAAAUAGUCUUGACUGGAAUCCUGCUUCAGCAUUUGGGACUGAUGCUGAAAGUAGUCUAGAAACAUCGGAUCUUUCGCGUGUUUUGCGACGGUGCGCCUGAGUCACUUCUGCUCUGGGUGACUAAAGUUCUCGGCCCUUCUCUCGAAGCACCUGGAAGGACUGGAUGCGAUGCCGCUGGCCGGGAGGACCCUCCCUGAGCUCUCCUGGGUGGUGCCAUCCACCAUCUUUGAACUUCCCAAGGAGUGUCUCAGCUGCUGUCCUGGAACGGCGCUAGAAGAGGAAGGAGGCUGGUUUCCCAUCGCUGGAAUUCGAAUUUCCAAUCUUGGGUCUCCGGCUUUAUUUACCCGGAAACCGUGGAGCAGAGCGUUCUACAAAGGAGGCCAUCACAGCUGGAUGUGUUCCACACAAGCCUCUGUCCUGUGAGUCAGGGCUGCAGACGGGUGAACCAGGUGGUGUUGGAUGCAGGUGCCAGACAAGGGCACAGCCUUUCCCUUCCCUGCACAUCUCCUUCAGGAGCCCCAUCAGGCUGCGGGCUGGCCUUGGCCAGAGUUGUUGUGCCAGGUUGAGGUAGCAGGGAAAAAUGUCCUUUGGCUGAAAAGGUUGCAUCUAAACCAUUUGCAGCAAGAAUUCAGCACCCACAGCAGUAAUCCCCUAAUUCCGGAAGUUUGCCCUAGAAUAUGCGGACUGCCAGAUAGCACUGGGAGCAUCCAUAGAAGACAAUGAUUUCUAAUGCAGUGAGUGAACUGCGCAUGGCAGAUGCCGUUGGCUACGGGGCCACACUGGCUACUGAUGGGGUCCCUGGGAGGUAUGCUUUUCCAGGGCUCAUUGUUCACCCUGUUCAGCUUGCCCUUCUAGAAGACUGAAAAAUGAAAUAGGAUAAUGGUUCUCACCCUCGGCUGAAAAUCAGAAUCACAGGGACAGAGUUAAAUAUAUUGAUGCCUGAGCCUUA